UCCUGGCUCAGGAUGAACGCUGGCGGCGUGCUUAACACAUGCAAGUCGAACGGAGUUUUAACGGAAGUUUCGGAUGGAAGUUUAGAAACUUAGUGGCGGACGGGUGAGUAACGCGUGGGUAACCUGCCUCAUACAGGGGGAUAACAGUUAGAAAUGACUGCUAACACCGCAUAAUAUAGCGAAACCGCAUGAUUUUGCUAUCAAAUAUUUAUAGGUAUGAGAUGGGCCCGCGUCUGAUUAGCUAGUUGGUGGGGUAAAGCCUACCAAGGCGACGAUCAGUAGCCGGCUUGAGAGAGUGACCGGCCACAUUGGGACUGAGACACGGCCCAAACUCCUACGGGAGGCAGCAGUGGGGAAUAUUGGACAAUGGGGGAAACCCUGAUCCAGCGAACCGCCGCGUGAGUGAAGAAGUAUUUCGGUAUGUAAAGCUCUAUCAGCAGGGAAGAUAAUGACAGUACCUGACUAAGAAGCCCCGGCUAACUACGUGCCAGCCGCUGC
rnacentral:rRNA from 1 species